rnacentral:misc_RNA from 1 species
GAAAUGCGAUAAGUAAUGUGAAUUGAAGAAUUCAGUGAAUCAUCGAAUCUUUGAACGCACCUUGCGCUCCUUGGUAUUCCUUGGAGCAUGCCUGUUUGAGUAUCAUGAAAUCUUCAAAGUAAAUCUUUUGUUAACUCAAUUGGUUUCUACUUUGGUAUUGGAGGUCUUUGCAGCUUCACACCUGCUCCUCUUUGUUCAUUAGCUGGAUCUCAGUGUUAUGCUUGGUUCCACUCGGCGUGAUAAGUUAUCUAUCGCUGAGGACACUGUAAAAGGUGGCAAAGGUAAAUGCAGAUGAACCGCUUCUAAUAGUCCAUUGACUUGGACAAUACUUUUAUGAUCUGAUCUCAAAUCAGGUAGGACUACCCGCUGAACUUAAGC